GACGAACGCUGGCGGCAGGCCUAACACAUGCAAGUCGAACGCGCGUAGCAAUACGCGAGUGGCGCACGGGUGAGUAACACGUGGGAAUCGACCCUGAGGUUCGGAAUAACCGCGGGAAACUGCGGCUAAUACCGGAUGUCCCCUAUGGGGGAAAGAUUUAUCGCCUUGGGACGAGCCCGCGUCCGAUUAGCUAGUUGGUGAGGUAACGGCUCACCAAGGCUACGAUCGGUAGCUGGUCUGAGAGGAUGACCAGCCACACUGGAACUGAGAUACGGUCCAGACUCCUACGGGAGGCAGCAGUGGGGAAUAUUGGGCAAUGGAGGCAACUCUGACCCAGCCAUGCCGCGUGGGUGACGAAGGUCUUCGGAUUGUAAAGCCCUUUCGGCGGAGACGAUGAUGACGGUAUCCGCAGAAGAA
rnacentral:rRNA from 1 species